rfam:Streptococcus agalactiae LMG 14747 ctg7180000010132, whole genome shotgun sequence.
GUUUCCGAUUGCGUAACUUUUACGUGAAAGGAGGUGAACGCAUUGAUACAAGUCCUAUUUGAGCUCUUCCUUGCCAUUGUGGCAGAUGUUAUCUCGUAUUUCAUUUGCAAAUGGCUAGAUGACAAGGAUAACUAGCGAUAGCUAGCCAAAAUAACACCCGUUAAACUUAAUAAGUACGUAAAAAAAGCCCCUUGGAACUGGCAUUCCUUGGGGCUUUGGUGUUCGCAU